UCGGGUGGCACGCCGAAUCCCGCCUCGCCCGGUGCUUCGACAUCCAGCAGGCGGGAGCGGGGGACCCAGGUUCCCGGGCGUCGUAGGCAGGCGUCCUUCGGGGUGAAGUCGCGCAGUGCGGCCGACUUGUCACGCACUGCGUGGCCGGGCUUUUCCGGCUCGAACCCGAAAGCUGACUUCGUAGGUGUGGGGAAGGGUAUUG
rnacentral:sRNA from 2 species